rnacentral:misc_RNA from 1 species
GAGAGAGAGAGAGAGAGAGUAAUACAACUAGACAUAUGACAAGGAUAUAGUUUCAGCAGAUUGAACUAAUUAAAUGGGGAAGGACAUGGUGGCUCAGAAACUUGAACAACUCCUUCAAGCAUCUGUGUCACAGUCCUCAUGGAGGGUCUUAGAGAUGGAUCCUCUUGGAUGCACCAUAUUGCCACCAUCACUAGCUUUUCUACCCUUUUUAUGUCAUUUCUUGCCUCCUCAUCAUCCUCCACUAGUUUAUCUAAUAUUUUUUCUUUGUAGCAGUCAUAUGCCCAGUCAGCUAGUAUGACCUCCUCUUCAUUCUCGUUUUCCAUUUCAAGGCCCCUUCUGCAACAAAUGAUCUCUAAUAACAUCACUCCAUAACUAUAAACAUCUACUUUUGCUGUAAUUGGCAUGUUCCUGAACCAUUCUGG